rnacentral:ncRNA from 1 species
AAACUGAAGAGUUUGAUCAUGGCUCAGAUUGAACGCUGGCGGCAGGCCUAACACAUGCAAGUCGAGCGGUAACAGAUCCAGCUUGCUGGAUGCUGACGAGCGGCGGACGGGUGAGUAAUGCAUAGGAAUCUGCCCGGUAGUGGGGGAUAACCUGGGGAAACCCAGGCUAAUACCGCAUACGUCCUACGGGAGAAAGGGGGCUUCGGCUCCCGCUAUCGGAUGAGCCUAUGUCGGAUUAGCUAGUUGGUGAGGUAACGGCUCACCAAGGCGACGAUCCGUAGCUGGUCUGAGAGGAUGAUCAGCCACAUCGGGACUGAGACACGGCCCGAACUCCUACGGGAGGCAGCAGUGGGGAAUAUUGGACAAUGGGGGGAACCCUGAUCCAGCCAUGCCGCGUGUGUGAAGAAGGCCCUCGGGUUGUAAAGCACUUUCAGCGAGGAAGAACGCCUAGCGGUUAAUACCCGCUAGGAAAGACA